rnacentral:rRNA from 1 species
UACGUAGGGACCAAGCGUUGUUCGGAUUUACUGGGCGUAAAGGGCGCGUAGGCGGCUUAACAAGUCACUUGUGAAAUCUCCGGGCUUAACUCGGAACGGCCAAGUGAAACUGUUAUGCUAGAGUGCAGAAGGGGCAAUCGGAAUUCUUGGUGUAGCGGUGAAAUGCGUAGAUAUCAGGAGGAACACCGGUGGCGAAGGCGGGUCUCUGGGCCGAUACUGACGCUGAGGAGCGAAAGCGUGGGGAGCGAACAGG